rnacentral:misc_RNA from 1 species
CCUUGGUGUCACCUUGUUGCCAAUGCAAUUCAGGCAAAUUAAAGAUCCGAUGGAAAUAGUUAGGUUGGUUGUUACAAGUCAAGGUGGAGCUUAUCUGAAUGUCGAUGAGAUUAUUGAACUAGCCAAACUUCUUGGGUUAAGCUCGUACGACGACAUAUCAGCUGUACAAGAAGCUAUUGCAAGAGAAGCUGCAGUAGUUGGAGAUCUCCAACUGGCUUUUGAUCUAUGUCUUGUUUUGGCCAAAAAAGGGCAUGGUUCGGUCUGGGACUUAUGUGCAGCACUGGCAAGAGG